AUGGGGGGCGGGGCGUGGAGGGGGCCUGAAGGCCCCCUCUGCCAGCGCAGGGUCCCCUGCAAGCAGAUCUGGCGUCCCCCCCCCUUCCCUGGAACAUCAACUUGGACUAAGGAUGGAGGUCGCGUCUCGGUACCUGGGCUCAUCCCUCGGGGAGAAGGGCUCUCACGCCUGCCUGACACAUGGGCUGAGAAGCGGCACCAGCGGCUCAGCCGAGACAGGGGAGGGGCUCAGCAGGAGGGGCCGGCUGACCACGUGCCGCCGGGACCCCCAGGACAUGGCCUCCCGCCAGCUGGAGGGGGUUCCCGGUGCUGGGGCUCAGGUUCUACCCACGUUCUGUUCUUCAUAAACGGGGCCCCCCUCCUGAGCAUCCGGCCCCUCAGUGGGUGUCAGGCUGUCAUUUAUCACCCUGUGGUCCCGACAUCACCACACCCUGCAAGGCCCCAGGUGUCCCAGCUGAGGAAGCGAGAAGUGGAUGCUGCCCAGGUGGGAGCCCCUGGUGAGGCCAGGGGACCGCCACCCCGGGCCUGCCUUUCUCGUUGGACUCUUGUCCCUAACGAAGUCCUGCCGGUUCCUUUGCACACGUGGGGAACGACCCUGAAAGUGUGCAAAGGUCACAAAACUUGGGGGCGGGGACAGAAGGGAGCUGAGGUAAGAACAUCAGGCUGGAGUCACUGGGGAAGAGCUGCUUUCUCCUGCGCUGCCAGCCCCAUAGUCAGCCUGCACUGGCUGCCCGCACCUGCUCCCUGGGGUGAGUCCACAUGGCGUGGACCGUGGCUCGAUAAGGACCACGCUAGUUCUCCAGGUCCACCUGUGCAGGGUCGGAAUCAGGCUCCUUUCUCUGCAGGGGUCUCCCGGCCAUGGGAGCGAUCCAGAGAGAAAGGGGUGCAUGCAGACCACCUGUGCGAGCGCCCUCAGGAGGGGCCACCUGCUCACAUGCCCUCCCCAGCAGGCAGGUUUCUCAUCAAGGAAACAUUUUCACUGAAAAUCCCGAACAGAGGAGAAGAGGUUGAAUAG
rnacentral:lncRNA from 1 species